UUCCGGAUCAGCUUAGAGUAGAGGGCAACUUCCACUCGGGGCAGAGGAAGCUAGUCAAACUUUGGUCAUUUAGAGGAAGUAAAAGUCGUAACAAAGGUUUCCGUAGGUGAACCUGCGGAAGGAUCAUUA
rnacentral:rRNA from 1 species